UACGGAGGAUCCGAGCGUUAUCCGGAUUUAUUGGGUUUAAAGGGAGCGUAGGUGGAUUGUUAAGUCAGUUGUGAAAGUUUGCGGCUCAACCGUAAAAUUGCAGUUGAAACUGGCAGUCUUGAGUACAGUAGAGGUGGGCGGAGUUCGUGGUGUAGCGGUGAAAUGCUUAGAUAUCACGAAGAGCUCCGAUUGCGAAGGCAGCUCACUGGACUGCAACUGACACUGAGGCUCGAAAGUGUGGGUAUCAAACAGG
rnacentral:rRNA from 1 species